ACUUUAGCGAGACUGCCAAUUAAACAUUGGAGGAAGGUGGGGAUAACGUCAAAUCAUCAUGCCCCUUAUGAUCUGGGCUACAAACGUGAUACAAUGGCUAUUACAAAGAGUAGCUGAAACGCGAGUUUUUAGCCAAUCUCAAAAAGGUAGUCUCAGUACGGAUUGAAGUCUGCAACUCGACUUCAUGAAGCUGGAAUCGCUAGUAAUCGCGAAUCAGCAUGUCGCGGUGAAUAUGUUCUCGGGGUUUGUACACACCGCCCGUCAAACCACGAAAGUUAGCAAUACCCGAAAGCAGUGGCUUAACUUCGAAAGAAGAGGGAGCUGUCUAAGGUAGGGUUGAUGAUUGGGGUUAAGUCGUAACAAGGUAUCCUUACCGGAAGGUGAGGAUGGAUCACCUCCUUU
rnacentral:rRNA from 1 species